rnacentral:rRNA from 1 species
UAGUUUUAAAGGGCACUCUUGUACCGUGAAACUGCGAAUGGCUCAUUAAAUCAGUUAUCGUUUAUUUGAUAGUACCCUACUACAUGGAUACCUGUGGUAAUUCUAGAGCUAAUACAUGCGCCAAACCCCGACUUCGGAAGGGGUGUAUUUAUUAGAUAAAAAACCAAUGCCCCUCGGGGCUCCUUGGUGAUUCAUAAUAACUUCACGAAUCGCAUGGCCUUGCGCCGGCGAUGGUUCAUUCAAAUUUCUGCCCUAUCAACUUUCGAUGGUAGGAUAGUGGCCUACCAUGGUGGCAACGGGUAACGGGGAAUUAGGGUUCGAUUCCGGAGAGGGAGCCUGAGAAACGGCUACCACAUCCAAGGAAGGCAGCAGGCGCGCAAAUUACCCAAUCCCGAUACGGGGAGGUAGUGACAAUAAAUACUGAUACAGGGCUCUUUUGGGUCUUGUAAUUGGAAUGAGAACAAUCUAAACCCCUUAACGAGGAACAAUUGGAGGGCAAGUCUGGUGCCAGCAGCCGCGGUAAUUCCAGCUCCAAUAGCGUAUAUUAAAGUUGUUGCAGUUAAAAAGCUCGUAGUUGAACCUUGGGCCCGUCCUGCCGGUCCGCCUCACCGCGAGUACUGGUCCGGAUGGGCCUUUCUUUCUGGGGAAUCCCAUGGCCUUCACUGGCUGUGGCGGGGAACCAGGACUUUUACUGUGAAAAAAUUAGAGUGUUCAAAGCAGGCCUUUGCUCGGAUACAUUAGCAUGGAAUAAUAGAAUAGGACGUGCGGGUUCUAUUUUGUUGGUUUCUAGGACCGCCGUAAUGAUUAAUAGGGAUAGUCGGGGGCGUCAGUAUUCAGCU